UACGAAGGGGGGCUAGCGUUGCUCGGAAUUACUGGGCGUAAAGGGUGCGUAGGCGGGUCUUUAAGUCAGGGGUGAAAUCCUGGAGCUCAACUCCAGAACUGCCUUUGAUACUGGCGAUCUCGAGUCCGGGAGAGGUGAGUGGAACUGCGAGUGUAGAGGUGAAAUUCGUAGAUAUUCGCAAGAACACCAGUGGCGAAGGCGGCUCACUGGCCCGGUACUGACGCUGAGGUGCGAAAGCGUGGGGAGCAAACAGG
rnacentral:rRNA from 1 species